AGCCGAAUAGCUCAGUCGGCAGAGCGUGAGACUCAUAAUCUCAGGAUUGUGGGUUCAAGACCCAUGUUGGGCUU